UUUUUUUUGUUUGUUUGUUUGUUUUUGUUUGCUUCUUUUUAGGGCUGCUCCUGCAGCUUAGAGAAGUACCCAAGCUAGGGGUUGAAUGGGCGCUGUAGCUGCAGGCUACGCCACAGCCCCAGCAAUGCAGGAUCCAAGUUGCAUCUGUGAUCUAUGCCGAAACUCACAGCAACGCCACAUCCUUAACCCACUGAACAAGGCCAGGGAUCAGACUCUCAUCCUCGCCGACACUACGUCAGGCUCGUAACCCACUGAUGCACAACAGGAACUCCAAAGUUAUUUUUCUCCUCAGGUCUGCUUGUGGCUCCAUUAUCGAAAACAAUAAAAACACAGAAAAGGACAGAUGUAAGCUAUCUUUUGACAAACCAGACCAUCCCGGCCCUCUUUAAAGCCAUUCACGACCGUAACAGGAGACAAGUAUGCAGAGGGCCUAUCUUAAGAGAAACGCCCCUUAGGAAGGCAUUGACUCUAUCUGUACAGCCAAUAAGAAGCAAGAUGAUAACGCUGUAACAAACAGAAAGUUGCACAAAAUUCUCCACAUAAACUGCAGUCUCUAAGCCCUUGGAAGCGGAGCACAAAAACUCCAGAUCAUCUUAAGAGACAUGGAGGGACUGGGCGCUCUGGCUCUGACCACAAUCUUUGUGGCUUCACCUGUGCACACAGAAACUGUUUAAAAAUCAGUUCAGAGUUUGGAGGGCUACUCUUGUCGCUGUUUUCUAUACAUCAAAAAUAUAGGGAGUUCCCGUCGUGGCUCAGUGGUUAACGAAUCCGACUAGGAACCAUGAGUUGUGGGUUUGAUCCCUGGCCUUGCUCAGUGGGUUAAGGAUCUGGCGCUGCUGUGGCUGUGGUUUAGACCAGCGUCUACAGCUCCGAUGCGACCCCUAGCCUGGGAACCUCCAUAUGCCACGGGUGCUGAUUUAAAAAAAAAAAAGAGAGAGAAUAUGCCUUCCCUCAAAUUACCUCGUCAUUUAUUUCAGCAGCCGUGCCAUGGCUGAGCACACUUCUGCUCCACAGGUAAUUCCCAAAGGGACCCCCACACUGAUGACACACACCCGGACACAAUCAGUUUCCUUACUUUUAGGACAACUAUUUUUUUAGGAAACCAAAUCUCACAUCCCUCACUCUGGGUAUCUGUUUUAUUUACUCUUCUUGGCACCAAAGUAUUUUUUAUUGUUUGCAGAUUGUUUGAAAAGAUUAUCCAUUGGGAAGAUUGAAAGAACUUGAACAGGUAAGUUAUUCAGAAAGCUUGGAAGGAAAGGAUCCAUGACAACUACCAAAGGAGUGUGUAUCUGAAGGGAAGAUACACACUCGAGUGUGAAGUGAAGUUGUCUGUUCUGCUUCCCCCAUACAACGUACGGCAUACCAUAGUGAUAAAACACGGAUACACAAGACACACGGCUUAUUCCAUUAAUCCUAAGGGGCUGAGGUCAAAUGCAGAGGGCUGAGGACGGCUAGGUCUGUCUGGACCAGGAAGGCCAGAGUUUUCCUGAGAAAUAAACUGUGAGAUUGAGCCUUGAAGGAGAAGCAAGAACUUCCACGUUUUCUCUAUUCACCGACUUUUUAAGACAGAAGGAACUGUUCCACUAAUGGACAUAUUUGAAAACCCUAAUUUUAAAAACUAUCCAAUCACAGGGAGUCCACUGGUGGUUCAGGGGAUUACGGGCCUGGAGGUGUCUACUGCUGUGGCUCAGGUCACUGCUGCGGCACGAGUUCGAUCCCUAGCCUGGGAACUUUUGCAUGCUGUGGCUGCAGCCAAGAACAAAAUAUCCAAUCACGGAAUGCUAUCUCUUUUAUCUUACCUUCUCUUUCUCUGCAAACCAAUACCAAAUGAAAUGAAAACAGACACCUGCAACUCAGAAAAGACAUGUUCACACGCGGAGAUCUGCGGACGUCACCCUGGCUUAUACAUGAGGUAACCUGGACUUCAUGCCAACUAAAGCAGUCUAUUUGUGGCCUAGCAAACAUGCACUGUACACCUGCUUUCAUUGUUAGAGAAAAGGGCACACUGACCAGAAGUAAGGAAUGUUCAUGUCAAAAAGAGAGAUUAAACGCCCCUCUUCCUGGGACACUCAGCUGGGAGUCUGAUGAGAAGACACCUUCCCAGGGACCACGGCCACUCUGACUCGCUGUGUACGUGCUGGUCUGUUCUUUUUUUUUCUUUAAACCUUGAAGAAAUGCAUCCCUGACUUGUUUACUGUUCUUUGCUCUGACAAGAUACAACCCGUCAGUAUUACUAAAAAGGAGGGAGCCUUUAAUAAACAGGAAAACAAAACAAAACAAAACAAAAACAAAAAACAGAAAAACAAGAAAAAACAGAAAAAUUAGUUUAUAGGCAGUUGCUUCUUCUUCUUCUUUUCCCAUUUUUGGCCACCCUGCAGCACAUGGCGUUCCCGGGCCAGGAAUCAGAUCCAACCCAUAGUCAGGACUUAAGCCGCAGCUGUGGCAACGCCAGAUCCUCAACCCACUGUGCCAGGCCUGGGAUCAAACCUGUGACCCAGUGCCCCCAAGAUGCCACUGAUCCUGAUGCGCCAUGGUGGGAACUUCUAUGAGCGACUUCCAGCAGAUGUUUGAGAAUCAGUCAAGAUGCUUCCAAGACUAAACCUAUAGUCAUCCUUGAUCAACUGGAUGGUUCUCUCUAGACACCAAAACACAGGGCACAGAAGUAAUUCUGAUAUCCCUAGAAUAGCAAAUGGUGCAUUUCAUAUUGGAGACAAAGAGGAUUUAAAAAUUAGCCCUAAGGUAACUUCCCACCCCGUGCCCUCACAUAUCCCACUUCCCUUGAAUAUUGCAGCGGAAGUUCUGCUGAAAGUUGAUGGCAUGGAACCCACAGGCAGAUGGAGAAGUUCCUAUCUCACAUGGCACGGUUUGAGAGAAGGACUCUUUCCUGAAAGUAGCAGCCUUGCUUCUUAUUCCCUCAUUCUCGCUUUGUUCCUUUGAGGCACCUGAGGGAAGAGGCAGCCGCCACAGCGAAACACCCU
rnacentral:lncRNA from 1 species